rnacentral:piRNA from 1 species
UGAGAAGGCAUGUGCGGACGAUGG